AUUCUUUUGCUCCGCUCCGUCCUGCCUGCUUCGGAGCUCUGCCUUCCAGCCGGGCUCGGCUGUGCUUUGUCCGGAGAUGGCGAGCGAAGGGAAGCCCCUGCCAGGCCAGGCCUGGCGGCUCCCGCUGGAGAUUGGGCGCGCUCCGUUCCCGGCGCCGCGGCAGCAGCUUUGCAACUCGCAACCUGGCUAAUUUCCUGCGUCCUCUGGCACCAGGAAAGAGGACAAUUCUUCUCUCGGGCUGCCCAGGCGACAGCUGUCAGAGGGGCAGGAGCUUCUGGGAGCCACCGUCUGAAGGCUACGUGUGCCGCCUGGCCAUUCAAACUGUCAAUUUUAGGUCCAGAAGUGUCCAAACCACAAGUUCUCAAAACUCUCUGAAAAAUGGCUCCCUCCGAGUUAAGCAAUUCUGAAAGGCAUUCUCUGGGAAAAGUCUGUGGAGGAGAGAGGGAUCUUCUUGCAAAUAAUGUGGUCUCAGGCAAGGACACAGCAUCUUGGCUGUCUGCUAAAAAAAAAAAAAUGCCUAGACUCUCAGUGGAAAUUGAGUG
rnacentral:sRNA from 1 species